rnacentral:rRNA from 1 species
UACGUAGGGUGCAAGCGUUAAUCGGAAUUACUGGGCGUAAAGCGUGCGCAGGCGGUUAUGCAAGACAGAUGUGAAAUCCCCGGGCUUAACCUGGGAACUGCAUUUGUGACUGCAUGGCUAGAGUGCGGCAGAGGGGGAUGGAAUUCCGCGUGUAGCAGUGAAAUGCGUAGAUAUGCGGAGGAACACCAAUUGCGAAGGCAGCUCGCUGGGACGUUACUGACGCUGAGACGCGAAAGCGUGGGGAGCAAACAGG